rnacentral:lncRNA from 1 species
UGUUUAAUGUAAAGUAUAUAUAUUGAAAUAUUGUGAAUUAUUAGGUAUGAAUAUUAACAUUUUACUUAAUUUUAUAUGCUCAAUACAGAAUUUAUAUUCAUUUCAUUAGUAUUUUUCUCAGUUAUUCUGCAUUAAAAAAUCUAAAUAUAAUAAAAUAUAAAAUAUAAAUGAUAAGUUGAAUGAUUGUAUACAAUUAAGUUAACAUGUUUCACGUGUUUAUUGUUUUAGACGAAACUUGUAAAACCUUUUUUAUGUUCCUAAAUUUUAAAAAAAAAUCAAUCAUCACAUUUUUUUAUAGAUAUAUAAUUUUUAUUUUUUAUUUAAUUUUAUUUUUUAAAUACCCGAAUUAGACCCGAACCCGAACCGAAAUCCCGAAAAAACCCGACGGAUCGGAUCUGAAUCUUCAUUUUCCAGACCCGGAUCCGAACCCGAACCGACCCGAAAUAUAAUGGAUCGGGUCUGGAUC